AACUCUUAAAAAUAUGAACUUUAAAGUUUUCUUUGCAUUAUUUUAGAUUAUCUGAAAGCUCUGCAUCUUUUUUGUUAUUUCAGUCAUUUCUCAUUUUCUGUAAAUAAAUGCUCUAAAUGAGAAUAUUUUUAUUUGUAAUUUGGGAGAAAUGUUGUCUGUAGUUUAUAGAAUAAAACAACAAUGUUCAUUUUACUCAAACAUAAACCUAAAAUGUUUUUGGACACACCUCUUCUCUGUCAUUCAAUGUUUUUUCUCUCUUUUUAUAUGUUUUAAUAUUAUAAAUGUAAUAUUAAAGACUAUAUUAAAGCUGUACAGGAACACAUUUGUGGAUUUAUUUAGUAAAGAGAAAAUUUUUAAACCAGAAUAUGUUAUUAAUUAUCUUUUUAAUUGAUGUUUUAUUUAUUUUUUAUUAUUAAUUGACUAGACAUUAUUCAUUACUACAACAUUUUAAACUAGUGACUCAAUUUUAAGCAUUUUAAGCCUUACCAUUUAGUGAUCUGUUAUAGUAUCUUAACUACUGUUAGUUAAUCAUUAGUAGAGAAGAUACUUAACAAUUUAAAAAUGUUUACUACUCAGUCAUAGGUACUGUUAAUUUAUGUAUAAAGUGGUUGGUGUAGCGCAGUGGAUAACACCACUGCCAGCCAGUGAGCUAUUAUGUCAGAGCCUGGGGUUCAAUUCCUGCUCUGGGUGACUGAAUGCUGCUCUGCACCAAUAAGAAUCCUUGGGCUAGACUCCUAACACUACAUUGGCCUUUACUUCUGUAACAGAAAAAUAACCUUGUAAGUCACUGUCACGGAUGAGAGGGAUGGACGUAAGUGCAGAUAUAAUUAUGUUUAUUAAACAAACAAGAAUAAUAAAAACAGAAAACAAAACGCGGGUAACGCAAAAAACUUUCAAAAAACAAGACUAGGAUAUAAAUGAACUAAGAUCAAAGACAAGGAAAACUAAGGAAACAAGAAACUCUAUAAAACUAACUUUAAACAAAGAAUAUCUAGAAAAUACAAAAACAACAGACCUGGAUUGUAGUGACAAAAAAAUGCUAAGGAACACAUUAUUACAUUACAUUACAUUACAUUACAUUACAUUACAUUACAUUACAUUACAUUACAUUAUGUUUGGCAGACGCUUUUGUCCAAAGCGACUUACAAUAGUCAAGUACAAUGUAAAAUAAGUUUAAAGGUAAAACAUCUUUGGAUAGGGAUAAAAGGAGGUCAAAGGGGAAUAAUAGGAUAGAGGAGUGAAGGAGAGGAAGAAGGAAAUGGGGUUAGAAGUAGUUAGUGUAUUAGAGGUGUUAGGAGAGUAAGUGCUCUUUGAAGAGCUCUGUCUUCAGGAGUUUAUUAUUAAAGAUAGUGAGAGAUUCUCCUGAUCUGGUAGUAGAAGGUAGUUAGUUAGAGGUGUUAGGAGAGUAAGAGCUCUUUGAAGAGCUCUGUCUUCAGGAGUUUAUUAAAGAUAGUGAGAGAUUCUCCUGAUCUGGUAGAAGAAGGUAGUUUGUUCCACCAUUGGGGAACUCUGUAUGAGAACAGUCUGGAUUGUUCUUUGUGUGAAUGUUUGUUUGGUA